ensembl:lncRNA
AAAACCUUCACUUGUUCUCACAGAAAAGGAGAAAGACAAGUUCUUUCCAGGGGCUUUUACGGGAAAUAUGAUAUGUUAUUAACUACAGUUUGCAGUAGGUAUUCUUGAGCUAUAUCUGCACCACAACUCGGUCCCACAAAAUACCAAAUACACACCGUGUAGCAAAGCUAGUUUCACAAAAAAACAUUUGCUCCUUGUUAAGGGCCGUCCAUGCUCUCUCACUGCUUUAAAGUAGGGAAAAAAUGGCAUCCCAUACUUUUGUGCACCAAUCAAAGUUUUUGUAUGUACAGAGAUUUGCAACGUAAUGCAAGAUUUAUUUCCUCCCCGAACACAAUCUUUAUUGUCUAUGUAGUCCAAAUAUUUAAUGUUAUACAAAGGCAGUUCAUUGUUGGACACACCCAUUCCCCGGUAAGUCUGCAUCCAUCCAUCUACUUUCUACACCCGCUGAGGGUUAAAGGUGCAUUUACAGACAAUGUGAUUAACUUUGGAUUCUACCAGCAAUCAAGUCUUAACUUUGCUUUAGCUCAAACUUGCCUUCACUCUGUAGUAACUGGAAGCGGUUAUCAUAGCGUUGGUAUUGGCAAGGUUUUUUAUCCAAGGAAACAUGAAAAUACAAUCUAGUGAUCAGACACACGCACCAGCCUUCACUGGGAGAUGCAGUUUCACAAUCAAUAGAAAUGUAAUUUUGUAUCACUGGAGAAUAAUGCAUUGGAUACUUAGUUGACUUGCUUCAUGGCCCUACGGGAACACAUCUGUAACAAUUACGCCGUCGAGGUGGAAGCUAAUCAAGUGUACAAGUGUCCUUGUACGUGUGUGGUGUGGGUUUGUUUCUUAGCAGAGCUCAGAGCAGCUCAGGCGAGAGGAAAUGUGAGCAGGGGAACCCCCCUGCUGGCAGGCCUGCAGCCACACAUGGACAGCCGACCACCGGGGGUGAUCGAUGCGAGGCCUCACGACAGCGACCCACUUCUGCCAGAUGCUCAGCCGCCACCUCAGCCGGCUGCCGCGCCUUGCCAGGUUUCCAAAAGCGUGACCCCUCCCUUAUCGCUGCUCGUAGACCGGGAGCUCCAAGAGGCCUUCCAGCAAUGUGAAGAACAAAUGGCCUCACUGGGCAUGUUUAAUCCCAUAGAGCCCCCAAGCACCACGUCUGAGACGGUUAAAGUAGAGAGGAAAACUGGAGACGGGGUGGUUAAUAAAUCCUAUGAGUCAUCGCCACCUCCUCCUAUCGUUAUCCAGCAGGGACAUAGCAACGGGGUCCAUGGAAACAAGAGCACACACGGAGACAGUGAGGCAGCAAACCCUCGGACGGAUACAGUUGUGUUUAGUUUCAGGAAUUACAUAUUGGGCACAGAGAGUAGUCCUACGGCCGCAAAGAAAGAGAGUGAAAUAGAAGCAAAACACAGCCUGGAUAAAUGUCCAGAGCUUAAGACGGACAAAGAAAUAAAGAUGGUGGAGCAGAAGGAAACACCCACGCAGACACAAUUAGAAACAACUAAAGAUUUAUUUAAAGAAGAAGACAAUUAUAUUGCUCUCUCUGACAGAGAGGAGCGUGUCAACUCUUAUGCAGCCGUUGGGGAACAUUGCACUCUAGAUUGUAAUUCAGUGAUUAAGGAAGAAGGAGAGACUGAUGAUUCAGUUAAUGAAACAUCAGAGGGCAGUAAAGAUGCAUUCGCAGAGACAACAACGGGAGCAAACAAUUACAGGGAUCAGGAUCAGGAGGCAAACACAGACAAAUGGAUGAAUUCGUGUGACAAACAUGCGGGGCUGGACAAAAAGGCAAAGAAGAAAGAAAAAAAGAAACAAAGGAAAAAGAAAAAAGUGGAAGAGAAGCACAUAGAGACUGAAAACAAAGCAAAAACUCAGCCUGAAAAUGAUUUAAGGGACACAUCUCUCAAGAAUGCUGGAAAUCACAAAGGUUCAACGGCAGAUAUCAAACCCGGGACACGGGCAGAUGGUCAGAAUGUGAUUUGUGGGGAGCAGCCUGAUAAUGGGUGUGACUCCAAGCGACAGCUGAGUCCCGGGGGAAGCCCCAGCCCCCCACUAUCAUCCCCCCACAGCAGGCAGGAUCAUCUUACUGACUCGAUCUGUUCACCUGUGUCCAACCGAGCUUUUUCACAUAACCACAUAACGGACGCCCCAUGUGGCGUUAAUCACAGCUCAAUCCUGCAGCGGAAGCAACAUGUAACCGAAUGUGUCAUUGACAACCACAAUACACCAGGGACGUAUGUCCAAAAUGCAGUUAUCAAUGCAUCUGUUCAUCCUGAAAAGAGAUUGUGUCCACAAACCAGGGAGGCUAAAGUUACCUCCGACGCAGCGAUACUCUCACAUGAGAAUCGCAGCCCACUCUCAAACACCCAAACUUGUGUGGGAGCGAGCGGCGUGGACGCUGCCCUUGAAGAGGCUUCAGUAGUGGUUGCUGCGUUGCCACUGGCAACACCCACGAUGCCAGAAGUGAUAGAAAGCAAGCGAGAGGGAGAAAGCGAGAGGCGUGAUUCAGGCGAGAGAGCGGCUACUGUAGCAAUCGCGGAGAGGGAGAGAGCGGUAGGAGACAAAGAUCUGGGAGGAGUAGAGAAGUGCCCCGGCUCCGCCGACGGAGAGAAAGAAGGACUCCUGGACAGCCUUUCUCCGCUCGCGUUAAUCUGUUCACGGGGCGAAGAGGGCGAGGCUGCAUCUAAGGAGAGCCGCAGCGUCAAAAUGCCACACAGCUCGACAGAGGCUGAAAUGAACGGAGCGAGAGGGACGAGCGCUCGCAGUCCAGACGCGGAGAUGCCAGCAGAUAAGGGAGACGGAGCAAAGGAGGCUCCCCUGUUAGCAGCCUGUAGCGAUACUCCUCCCUACGGGCUACUCACUGGUCCUGAUUGUCUGGAUCACAGUGCUGCGCGAUCGGGGGGGAGCAGGGGAGGGGGGGGGGGGGGGGGGGGGAGGAGGAGAGGAUGUGGGAAAGAAAGCCAGGCUGACCAAAGUGCACAGUUUAUUCAGCCAGCCAGAAGGCUCUGCUAG